rnacentral:rRNA from 1 species
UACGGAGGAAAAGAAACUAACAAGGAUUCCCCUAGUAGCGGCGAGCGAAGCGGGAAGAGCUCAAAUUUAUAAUCUGGCACUUUCAGUGUCCGAGUUGUAAUCUCUAGAAGUGUUUUCCGCGUUGGACCGCACAUAAGUCUGUUGGAACACAGCGGCAUAGUGGUGAGACCCCCGUAUUCGGUGCGGACGCCCAACGCUUUGCGAUACACUUUCGAAGAGUCGAGUUGUUUGGGAAUGCAGCUCAAAUUGGGUGGUAAAUUCCAUCUAAAGCUAAAUAUUGGCGAGAGACCGAUAGCGAACAAGUACCGUGAGGGAAAGAUGAAAAGCACUUUGGAAAGAGAGUUAACAGUACGUGAAAUUGUUGGAAGGGAAACGCUUGAAGUCAGACUUGCUUGCCGGAUUUAUUCGGUUUGCAGGCCAGCAUCAGUUUUCCGGGGUGGAAAAUGGCGGUUAGAAGGUAGCAGUUUCGGCUGUGUUAUAGCUUUCCGCUGGAUACAUUCUGGGGGACUGAGGAACGCAGCACGCUUUUAGCGAGGGAUUCGUCCCUUUCGUGCUUAGGAUGCUGGUGUAAUGGCUUUAAACGACCCUC